ACAUGCCUACAACAUAGUGUUAAUGCAUCAGAUCCCAUUACAACUCCGCAGUUAAGCACACUCGGGCUAGAGUAGUAAUGGGAUGGGUGACCGUCUGGGAAGACCUAGUAUUUACAUGCC
rnacentral:rRNA from 1 species